rfam:Picea glauca, whole genome shotgun sequence.
GGAGAGAUGGCUGAGCGGACCAAAGCGGCGGAUUGCUAAUCCAUAGUACGGAUUAUACGUACCGAGGGUUCGAAUCCCUCUCUCUCCG